rnacentral:lncRNA from 1 species
CCAGGGCCUGCUCAUGAUGCAGGAUGUAACUCCUGGAGGCGGUUGCCUAGCAACUGUCUCCGGCCGAUGCAGAGGCACUCAGCUGGCGAGGAGCAACUGGGGGGGCAAGGGAGCCCCCGGUUCGCACCAAAGAGACAGCAGGAGGUGGAGGGGGCAGUGAGGAACCACCUGCCCUGGCUGGGGCUCACAGGGCUCCAGCAUCGCAUGAGGGGGGAGCCCCGCUCCAGCCGCUGACACCAUGGGCAGCUGUGGGCGAGCGGAGAGCCACAGCCGGAGCGGCAUGGUGGGAACGGACGCCGAACAGGCAGGGACAUUUUCACGUGGCAGAAACGCAGCUCACACGCAGCCCGCAGCAUGCGGUCAACGGCACCCAGGCGGUGGGUGUACAGUCCAGGCGCCUGCCGUGAGCCCACUCAGACAUGCAAGCUGGGGGCCCUCCUGUGCCCGGGAAACUACGUACGUGUGCGUGACAUUGUAGCGGAUGCAACAGCACACCUACGGACGAUCUCAGGAUGCCCUCUUCUGCGCACAGGCUGCGAGCGAGCGAGCACCCGCACGCACCCACAGGAUCACAG